rnacentral:rRNA from 1 species
AUAGUAGCGAAGUCCGGAUACAUGCUGUCAAGAAAAGCCGCUAUUGCGCCAUAUGUACCCGUACCGUAAACCGACACAGGUGGAUGAGGAGAGAAUCCUAAGGCCGGCGGGAGAAGUGUUGUUAAGGAACUCGGCAAAAUGGCCCCGUAACUUCGGAAGAAGGGGCGCCCAGAAAUGGGCCGCAGAGAAAAGGCUCAAGCAACUGUUUAGCAAAAACACAGGUCUAUGCGAAACCGAAAGGUGAGGUAUAUGGGCUGACGCCUGCCCGGUGCUGUAAGGUUAAGGGGAGAGGUUAGCCGCAAGGCGAAGCUUUGAACUUAAGCCCCAGUAAACGGCGGCCGUAACUAUAACGGUCCUAAGGUAGCGAAAUUCCUUGUCGGGUAAGUUCCGACCCGCACGAAAGGCGUAAUGAUUUGAGCACUGUCUCGACAACACACCCGGUGAAAUUGAAAUACCAGUGAAGAUGCUGGUUACCUGCGCCAGGACGGAAAGACCCCAUGGAGCUUUACUCUAGUUUGAUACUGGGACCCGGUAUGACAUGUACAGGAUAGGUGGGAGGCAGAGAAUUAAUGACGCCAGUCAUUAAGGAGCCGCUGUUGGGAUACCACCCUUGUGAUGCCAGGUUUCUAACGAGCUGCCGUGAACCGGCAGGCGGACAAUGUCAGGCGGGGAGUUUGACUGGGGCGGUCGCCUCCGAAAGGGUAUCGGAGGCGCUCAAAGGUUCCCUCAGAAUGGUUGGAAACCAUUCGGAGAGUGCAAAGGCAGAAGGGAGCCUGACUGCGACACCGACGGGUGGAGCAGGUACGAAAGUAGGACUUAGUGAUCCGGUGGUAUAAAGUGGGAUUGCCAUCGCUCAACGGAUAAAAGCUACCCUGGGAUAACAGGCUUAUCACUCCCAAGAGUUCACAUCGACGGAGUGGUUUGGCACCUCGAUGUCGGCUCAUCGCAUCCUGGGGCUGGAGUAGGUCCCAAGGGUUGGGCUGUUCGCCCAUUAAAGCGGUACGCGAGCUGGGUUCAGAACGUCGUGAGACAGUUCGGUCCCUAUCCGGCGCGGGCGUAAGAGAUUUGAGAGGAGCUGUCCUUAGUACGAGAGGACCGGGAUGGACGGACCACUGGUGUAUCUGUUGCACCACCAGGUGCACGGCAGAGUAGCCAAGUCCGGACGGGAUAAACGCUGAAGGCAUCUAAGCGUGAAGCCCCCCUCAAGAUGAGAUCUCUCAUUCGAAAGAAGUAAGACCCCUUGAAGACGACGAGGUAGAUAGGGCAGAGGUGGAAGGGCAGUAAUGUCCGGAGCUGACUGUUACUAAUCGGUCGAGGGCUUGAUCA